AUUGAACGCUGGCGGCAGGCCUAACACAUGCAAGUCGAACGGUAACAGGAAGAAGCUUGCUUCUUUGCUGACGAGUGGCGGGCGGGUGAGUAAUGUCUGGGAAACUGCCUGAUGGAGGGGGAUAACUACUGGAAACGGUAGCUAAUACCGCAUAACGUCGCAAGACCAAGGAGGGGGACCUUCGGGCCUCUUGCCAUCGGAUGUGCCCAGAUGGGAUUAGUUGGUAGGUGGGGUAACGGCUGACCUAGGCGACGAUCCCUAGCUGGUCCGAGAGGAUGAAGCGCGACUGUGGAACUGAGAGACGGCACAGACACCGAGGGGAGGCAGCGGCGGGGACGAGUGGACAAUGGGCGCAAGCCUGAUGCAUGGACGCCGGGUGUAUGAAGAAGGGCUUCGUGUUGUAAAGUACUUUCAGCGGGGAGGAAGGCAGUAAGGUUAAGACCUGCGCUUAUUGACGUUACCCGCAGAAGAAGCACCGGCUAACUCCGUG
rnacentral:rRNA from 1 species